CUCUUCCCAACAGUACUGCUGUCACUCUUUCAUCUUUGCCUCCCUGUUUAGCGGAGCCUUCAUCCACACGUGCAUACAGAGUCAGACUCAGGGUGAUUGAGAAGCAAUCGUUUGCAUAGCAGAAUUUGAUGCAAGUACCUUGUCUGAAAUGUUACACACCUUCCCCUCUUAAGGUUGCUCCUGACAAAGCGGACCAUAUUUAUUUAGCUUAAAAUAUAAGAUGAUCUCAUCUGGCUCUUACAUGACCCCUGACCACAUCACAGGGCAGAAUAAUGCUGUGGUGAUCACAAAGUACACAAAGGAGAAGCAGGAAUCGUUGUGAAUCCUUAUGCAACAAUAAAAGAGGUGUAAUCCAGAGCAGACAUGUGAUUUCUCCAUAUUAGAGGGUGAAUUAUUUUGGUGGCUACAUGUAAUAGAUGGAAAAUUGUUGUAUAGACAACUUCCAUCAGGCUUUUACACUUACUUGAAAAGUUGAUAGCGCUGGAAAAUCCCCUGCUGGAUGGACUUCAGAGGAAACAGGGCAGAGAAGACUUGGAAGACAUUCAGAAAACCUAGUUAUAAACUCAGGAACAUCUUAUUACUUACUAUAUUUCCUCAAGGCAAUGCAUCAUGUAAGUAACACUGACAGAAAGGCUCUGACCCAAGAAUUAAAGCAGAGACCAGAAGUAUUGCUCAUACCGCUUUCAG
rnacentral:lncRNA from 1 species